rnacentral:rRNA from 1 species
ACACGUAGGGGCCUGACGUUGUUCGGAAUCAUUGGGCGUAAAGGGCGCGCAGGCGGCCGUCCAAGUCCGGUGUUAAAUGGUCGGGCUCAACCCGAUCAUGCGCUGGAACCUGGGCGGCUGGAGUCCCGGAGGGGAUGCCGGAAUCCCAUGUGUAGGGGUGAAAUCUGUAGAUAUCUGGAAGAACACCGAUGGCGAAGGCAGGCAUCUGGCCGGAGACUGACGCUGAGGCGCGAAGGCGCGGGGAGCGAACAGGUUUAGAUACCCUGGUAGUCCGCGCAGUAAACGAUGCGCACCAGGUGUCGGGCGGCAGCGCCCGGUACCGGAGCAAACGCGAUGAGUGCGCCGCCUGGGGAGUAUGCCCGCAAGGGUGAAACUCAAAUGAAUUGACGGGG